rfam:Hordeum vulgare subsp. vulgare, WGS project CAJW01000000 data, contig: morex_contig_77360
UACUUACUCUCUUCAUCCUAAAAUUCUUGUCUUAGGUUUGUUUAGAAAUGAAUGUAUCUAAAAUGUGACUAGAUACAUUCAUAUUUAGACAAAUCUAAGACAAGAAUUUUGAGACGGGGGAGUACUUG